rnacentral:tRNA from 1 species
GCCUUCAUAGUUCAAUGGAUAGAACAGCCCCCUCCUAAGGGGCAGAUACAGGUUCGAUCCCUGUUGGGGGUACCA